GACGAACGCUGGCGGCGUGCUUAACACAUGCAAGUCGAACGGAAAGGCCCUGCUUUUGUGGGGUGCUCGAGUGGCGAACGGGUGAGUAACACGUGAGUAACCUGCCCUUGACUUUGGGAUAACUUCAGGAAACUGGGGCUAAUACCGGAUAGGAGCUCCUGCUGCAUGGUGGGGGUUGGAAAGUUUCGGCGGUUGUGGAUGGACUCGCGGCUUAUCGGCUUGUUGGUGGGGUAGUGGCUUACCAAGGCUUUGACGGGUAGCCGGCCUGAGAGGGUGACCGGGCACCUUGGGACUGAGAUACGGACCAGAAUCCUACGGGAGGCAGCAGUGGGGAAUAUUGCACAAUGGGCGGAAGCCUGAUGCAGCAACGCCGCGUGCGGGAUGACGGCCUUCGGGUUGUAAACCGCUUUCGCCAGUGACGAAGCGUGAGUGACGGUAAUGGGUAAAGAAGCACCGGCUAACUACGUG
rnacentral:rRNA from 1 species